GGGUUGUGAGGUUAAGCGACUAAGCGUACACGGUGGAUGCCCUGGCAGUCAGAGGCGAUGAAGGGCGUGCUAAUCUGCGAUAAGCGCCGGUAAGGUGAUAUGAACCGUUAUAACCGGCGAUACCCGAAUGGGGAAACCCAGUGUGACUCGUCACACUAUCAUUAACUGAAUCCAUAGGUUAAUGAGGCGAACCGGGGGAACUGAAACAUCUAAGUACCCCGAGGAAAAGAAAUCAACCGAGAUUCCCCCAGUAGCGGCGAGCGAACGGGGAGGAGCCCAGAGCCUGAAUCAGCAUGUGUGUUAGUGGAAGCGUCUGGAAAGGCGCGCGAUACAGGGUGACAGCCCCGUACACAAAAGCGCAUGUGCUGUGAGCUCGAUGAGUAGGGCGGGACACGUGGUAUCCUGUCUGAAUAUGGGGGGACCAUCCUCCAAGGCUAAAUACUCCUGACUGACCGAUAGUGAACCAGUACCGUGAGGGAAAGGCGAAAAGAACCCCGGCGAGGGGAGUGAAAAAGAACCUGAAACCGUGUACGUACAAGCAGUGGGAGCACCCUUUGGGUGUGACUGCGUACCUUUUGUAUAAUGGGUCAGCGACUUAUAUUCUGUAGCAAGGUUAACCGAAUAGGGGAGCCGGAGGGAAACCGAGUCUUAACUGGGCGUUAAGUUGCAGGGUAUAGACCCGAAACCCGGUGAUCUAGCCAUGGGCAGGUUGAAGGUUGGGUAACACUAACUGGAGGACCGAACCGACUAAUGUUGAAAAAUUAGCGGAUGACCUGUGGCUGGGGGUGAAAGGCCAAUCAAACCGGGAGAUAGCUGGUUCUCCCCGAAAGCUAUUUAGGUAGCGCCUCGUGAAUUCAUCUCCGGGGGUAGAGCACUGUUUCGGCUAGGGGGCCAUCCCGGCUUACCAACCCGAUGCAAACUGCGAAUACCGGAGAAUGUUAUCACGGGAGACACACGGCGGGUGCUAACGUCCGUCGUGAAGAGGGAAACAACCCAGACCGCCAGCUAAGGUCCCAAAGUCAUGGUUAAGUGGGAAACGAUGUGGGAAGGCCCAGACAGCCAGGAUGUUGGCUUAGAAGCAGCCAUCAUUUAAAGAAAGCGUAAUAGCUCACUGGUCGAGUCGGCCUGCGCGGAAGAUGUAACGGGGCUAAACCAUGCACCGAAGCUGCGGCAGCGACACUGUGUGUUGUUGGGUAGGGGAGCGUUCUGUAAGCCUGCGAAGGUGGCCUGUGAGGGUUGCUGGAGGUAUCAGAAGUGCGAAUGCUGACAUAAGUAACGAUAAAGCGGGUGAAAAGCCCGCUCGCCGGAAGACCAAGGGUUCCUGUCCAACGUUAAUCGGGGCAGGGUGAGUCGACCCCUAAGGCGAGGCCGAAAGGCGUAGUCGAUGGGAAACGGGUUAAUAUUCCCGUACUUGGUGUUACUGCGAAGGGGGGACGGAGAAGGCUAUGUUGGCCGGGCGACGGUUGUCCCGGUUUAAGCGUGUAGGUGUGUGUUCCAGGUAAAUCCGGUUCACUUUAACACUGAGGCGUGACGACGAGGCACUACGGUGCUGAAGCAACAAAUGCCCUGCUUCCAGGAAAAGCCUCUAAGCAUCAGGUAACAUCAAAUCGUACCCCAAACCGACACAGGUGGUCAGGUAGAGAAUACCAAGGCGCUUGAGAGAACUCGGGUGAAGGAACUAGGCAAAAUGGUGCCGUAACUUCGGGAGAAGGCACGCUGACACGUAGGUGAAGUGAUUUACUCAUGGAGCUGAAGUCAGUCGAAGAUACCAGCUGGCUGCAACUGUUUAUUAAAAACACAGCACUGUGCAAACACGAAAGUGGACGUAUACGGUGUGACGCCUGCCCGGUGCCGGAAGGUUAAUUGAUGGGGUCAGCGCAAGCGAAGCUCCUGAUCGAAGCCCCGGUAAACGGCGGCCGUAACUAUAACGGUCCUAAGGUAGCGAAAUUCCUUGUCGGGUAAGUUCCGACCUGCACGAAUGGCGUAAUGAUGGCCAGGCUGUCUCCACCCGAGACUCAGUGAAAUUGAACUCGCUGUGAAGAUGCAGUGUACCCGCGGCAAGACGGAAAGACCCCGUGAACCUUUACUAUAGCUUGACACUGAACAUUGAGCCUUGAUGUGUAGGAUAGGUGGGAGGCUUUGAAGUGUGGACGCCAGUCUGCAUGGAGCCGACCUUGAAAUACCACCCUUUAAUGUUUGAUGUUCUAACGUGGACCCGUUACCCGGGUUGCGGACAGUGUCUGGUGGGUAGUUUGACUGGGGCGGUCUCCUCCUAAAGAGUAACGGAGGAGCACGAAGGUUGGCUAAUCCUGGUCGGACAUCAGGAGGUUAGUGCAAUGGCAUAAGCCAGCUUGACUGCGAGCGUGACGGCGCGAGCAGGUGCGAAAGCAGGUCAUAGUGAUCCGGUGGUUCUGAAUGGAAGGGCCAUCGCUCAACGGAUAAAAGGUACUCCGGGGAUAACAGGCUGAUACCGCCCAAGAGUUCAUAUCGACGGCGGUGUUUGGCACCUCGAUGUCGGCUCAUCACAUCCUGGGGCUGAAGUAGGUCCCAAGGGUAUGGCUGUUCGCCAUUUAAAGUGGUACGCGAGCUGGGUUUAGAACGUCGUGAGACAGUUCGGUCCCUAUCUGCCGUGGGCGCUGGAGAACUGAGGGGGGCUGCUCCUAGUACGAGAGGACCGGAGUGGACGCAUCACUGGUGUUCGGGUUGUCAUGCCAAUGGCACUGCCCGGUAGCUAAAUGCGGAAGAGAUAAGUGCUGAAAGCAUCUAAGCACGAAACUUGCCCCGAGAUGAGUUCUCCCUGAGACUUAGAGUCUCCUGAAGGAACGUUGAAGACGACGACGUUGAUAGGCCGGGUGUGUAAGCGCAGCGAUGCGUUGAGCUAACCGGUACUAAUGAACCGUGAGGCUUAACCUUACAACGCCGAAG
rnacentral:rRNA from 1 species